UACCCAAACCAGAAAAGCCAACAUCAUCACCAUUGGCAGAAGCACCUCGACAGUGUGGAUCCCUGGUCCUGCUAUCAUCAUAAGGCCAUGUGUGACCAUGGGCAGUGACUCUCUCCCAGAGGACUUUCCCUCUGAUGGCAUAAAGGGCUGGCCAAUGACUUAAGAACCAGAGAUUUGGGGUCAGGACCAAGAGGACAAAUCCUACCUUGUGACCUUAAGGACAACAGUUCCAAUCUCAACAGUAACGUCAAGCAGGGCUCCUGACCUCCCCCAGCUUCUGCUCACCACCUCUUCUUACCAGUGACUCUGCUAGCUUUGCCUGCUGGUGCUUGCUGCCAAGCCAACAGAAGCGCCUCGUAAAGUGACUGCAAACCGUGAGGAAGAAAGGAAGAAGUUGGAACUCCUGAGAGAGGCAUGGUGUCUCUCAGUAACAUGGCACUCCCACUGUGACUGGGGCACUGAUGGGCCCUGUGACAGGCCACAGAAAUGAAUGUGAUGCCCCCCUGAUGCCCACAGUAUGGGCGUGGGGUGGAUAACCAACCCCAGUGAGGACAGGGUACCAUUAGUCACUGCCUCAGAGAUAAUGACAGAUGCACAGCCAUGGCGUGCUGUGGCAGAAAGCAGGGAGAAAAGGCUCACUUGGGUCUCCCCAAUGGGUGAGAGAAAAAAGUGAGGGGAGAAGGUGCUCUCAGGUCAGGGGUGGACACACACAAGGGAGGCCCCCCAGGUCUGCUGAGCCAGUGUGAGAGACUGGUGGGUGGCCACUGGAGCCCUGCAGAGUGUGAGCAGCUGUCUCCUGACUCAUCCAUCCUCCCACAUCAUCCACUUUCCCCAAGAUUCAAAUGAUAACACCUGGAUUGGAAUAAAAAGAAAAAUGACUAGA